rnacentral:rRNA from 1 species
ACGGGGUGCAGCAGGCGCGAAACCUCCGCAAUGUGAGAAAUCGCGACGGGGGGAUCCCAAGUGCCAUUCUUAACGGGAUGGCUUGUUCAUUAGUGUAAAGAGCUUUUGGAAUAAGAGCAGGGCAAGACCGGUGCCAGCAGCCGCGGUAAU